rnacentral:rRNA from 1 species
GUGGGGAAUAUUGGGCAAUGGGCGAAAGCCUGACCCAGCAACGCCGCGUGAAGGAAGAAGGUCUUCGGAUCGUAAACUUCUAUCCUUGGUGAAGAUAAUGACGGUAGCCGAGAAGGAAGCCCCGGCUAACUACGUGCCAGCAGCCGCGGUAAUACGUAGGGGGCAAGCGUUGUCCGGAAUGAUUGGGCGUAAAGGGCGCGUAGGCGGCCUGGUAAGUCUGGAGUGAAAGUCCUGCUUUUAAGGUGGGAAUUGCUUUGGAUACUGUCGGGCUUGAGUGCAGGAGAGGUAAGUGGAAUUCCCGGUGUAGCGGUGGAAUGCGUAGAGAUCGGGAGGAACACCAGUGGCGAAGGCGACUUACUGGACUGUAACUGACGCUGAGGCGCGAAAGUGUGGGGAGCAAACAGGAUUAGAUACCCUAGUAGUCC